CCUUUAGUAUUCAUAUUUUACUUAAUUUAAAGUUCCCGUCUAUUAACCUGGGUUAGAUUUAUUAGUUUAGGAGUUCUCAUAUAUUAAUGACUAAACCAAAUAAGAAUGGGGGAGAGUAGAAAUGUCCAAUAACUUUAGAGGAUCAUGUGGUGGUGGCGGCGAUGGCAGUGUAGGGCACGGUGGAGGUCGUGGUUGCUCUAGAGUUACUGAAAGUUUAAACCGAGGUCAUCAGAUGUAUGGAAAAAUGAUUUCGAUGAUGUACCUGGGAGAAAUUCUUCGUAGAGUUAUGUAGGGUGCCUGAAGAGGCUGUCCUUUUUCUUGACACGCUGCCCCCGAAACUAAAAAGUCUGUUUGUGUUGAGGUCAUCAUAUGUCCGAGUCUCGCUUACUACAUCAAGUUAUUCCUGGCUGGUGGAUGACGGUCUAAAGUUAUUUGAAUCAAUCGAGGCAUAGUAUAACAUCGUUCCGUCACUUGAGCAUUACUGUUGCGUUUUAGAUAUGUUAGGGAGAGAUGGUAGUGUGUCAGAAGCUUACGAUUUUGUUGAAAGAUUUGGGGAAAA